rnacentral:rRNA from 1 species
GGGCCUACGGGAGGCAGCAGUGGGGAAUAUUGCACAAUGGGGGAAACCCUGAUGCAGCGACGCCGCGUGAGUGAAGAAGUAUUUCGGUAUGUAAAGCUCUAUCAGCAGGGAAGAAAAUGACGGUACCUGACCAAGAAGCCCCGGCUAACUACGUGCCAGCAGCCGCGGUAAUACGUAGGGGGCAAGCGUUAUCCGGAUUUACUGGGUGUAAAGGGAGCGUAGACGGCAUGGCAAGUCUGAUGUGAAAACCCGGGGCUCAACCCCGGGACUGCAUUGGAAACUGUCAGGCUAGAGUGUCGGAGAGG